UACUAAUGAAUAAGGAUCGGCUAACUUCGUGCCAGCAGCCGCGGUAAUACGAAGGAUCCAAGCGUUGUCCGGAUUUACUGGGUUUAAAGGGUGCGUAGGCGGAAAAUUAAGUCAGUGGUGAAAUCCCGCAGCUCAACUGUGGAACUGCCAUUGAAACUGGUUUUCUUGAAUAUUGCUGAGGCAGAUGGAAUAUGACAUGUAGCGGUGAAAUGCUUAGAUAUGUUAUAGAACACCGAUUGCGAAGGCAGUCUGCUAAACUAUUAUUGACGCUGAGGCACGAAAGCGUGGGGAGCAAACAGGAUUAGAUACCCUGGUAGU
rnacentral:rRNA from 1 species